UACGUAGGGUGCAAGCGUUGUCCGGAAUUAUUGGGCGUAAAGAGCUCGUAGGCGGCUUGUCGCGUCGAAUGUGAAAUCUCAGGGCUCAACUCUGACAUUGCAUUCGAUACGGGCAGGCUAGAGUUCGGUAGGGGAGACUGGAAUUCCUGGUGUAGCGGUGAAAUGCGCAGAUAUCAGGAGGAACACCGAUGGCGAAGGCAGGUCUCUGGGCCGAUACUACUGAGGAGCGAAAGCGUGGGGGGAGCGAAACAGG
rnacentral:rRNA from 1 species